rnacentral:rRNA from 1 species
GAUGAGCGCUAGCGGCAGGCUUAAUACAUGCAAGUCGAGGGGCAGCAUGAUUGUAGCAAUACAAUUGAUGGCGACCGGCAAACGGGUGCGGAACACGUACACAACCUUCCAACAAGAGGGGGUUAGCACAGAGAAAUUUGGAUUAAUACCCCGUAACAUAGCGUUGGGGCAUCACAUUGCUAUGAUAGAUUCUUCGCUUGUUGAUGGGUGUGCGGCUGAUUAGAUAGUUGGCGGGGUAACGACCCACCAAGUCUACGAUCAGUAGCUGAUGUGAGAGCAUGAUCAGCCACACGGGCACUGAGACACGGGCCCGACUCCUACGGGAGGCAGCAGUAAGGAAUAUUGGACAAUGGACGCAAGUCUGAUCCAGCCAUGCCGCGUGAAGGAUUAAGGUCCUCUGGAUUGUAAACUUCUUUUAUAAGGGACGAAAAAAGGCUUUUCUAAGUCGUCUGACGGUACCUUAUGAAUAAGCACCGGCUAACUCCGUGCCAGCCGCCGCGGUAAAAC